GCUGCCAGCGUCAUUUUUGUGAUCUGCAGCUAGUAUUCUCACUCCAGUUGCAUAGUCACAAAAGUGAUCACUGGCAGGUGUGGC
rnacentral:pre_miRNA from 1 species